UACGAAGGGGGCUAGCGUUGCUCGGAAUCAUUGGGCGUAAAGGGUGUGUAGGUGGCGCCGUAAGUCGGGUGUGAAAUUUCGGAGCUUAACUCCGAAACUGCAUUCGAUACUGCGGUGCUUGAGGACUGGAGAGGAGACUGGAAUUCAUGGUGUAGCAGUGAAAUGCGUAGAGAUCAUGAGGAAGACCAGUGGCGAAGGCGGGUCUCUGGACAGUUCCUGACACUGAGACACGAAGGCCAGGGGAGCAAACGGG
rnacentral:rRNA from 1 species